GGAGAAGUGCCCGAGUGGUUAUGGGGCUGCUUUUAGGAACACCUUAUUGUUACCAAACAGCAGUGCUUCGGCUCGCGAGUUCGAAUCUCGUCUUCUUCA